UACUGUAUGCCAUAUCUCCCUGCAGUUCUCACCAGGUUUCCUACUGAAGAUAAGCAUCAUUGAGUCUGGUUAGUACCUGGAUGGGAGACCUCCUGGGCAAAACUAAGGUUGCUGCUGGGA
rnacentral:rRNA from 1 species